UGUCACCAGAGACUUUCUUGUCACCUGGAUCUGGUUCAGUUUGUCGCUCAGUAUGGUGACGCACAGGUUGAGUGACCAACUGUCCUGGUUUACACGGGACUGAAGAUUUCCAGGGCCAAGGAUUUCAGUGCUCAAACCCUAUAGUCCCUGCUAACUUCUUAGUUGUCCAGGGGCGAAUUAUCCAUUAAGCAGGCACCUUCCUACAGAAUCGAAGCCUCUUUUCAAAUUUACAAUCCCUGACAGGGGUGGAUGACCUAGUAACAUGAUGAAAAUGAAGCAAGCAGAGAGUUGGGGACCUCACACGACCAAGAAAGCAGCACCAGGAGCAAAGCAUGUCUUUUGGACACAGGGUCCCUGGCCUGAAGAGCUCCUUGAGCAAGGGAAGAUUGAGGACAAGGACCUUCCUCCAGAGCCAACAGAGACAGAAAGACUUCCUCUGGAGCCGACACCCUGAAUUUGUGCUUGUAACCUACUAGACUGUGAGAAAAUAAAUUUCUCUUUGUUAAAGCCAUACACUUGUGGUAUUUCUAUUAUAGUAGUACUAGAUAACUAAGACAGUGGGUUUAGAAGAUUCUUUAGCUAGCCCUUCUUGUGCAAUUUUAUUUAGUAAAGUGCAGGUUGUGUUAAGAAUAAAGAUUAAAUUAUGGCCUGGGCUUUGUUCAGAUCAAAAAAGAGGCCAUUUAUCAAUGGAAAAUCUAGUAAUAGUGAUUUUCCAUAGUAAUAAACUGUUUCUUUAUUGUUCCUGUAUCCGUAAAUCAAGAGUGCCCAAUCAGAUC